AAGUCGUAACAAGGUUUCCGUAGGUGAACCUGCGGAAGGAUCAUUAAUGAAUUUGAAGGACGUUCUUUUUAGAAGUCCGACCUCUUCAUUUCCUUACACCGUGCACACACUUCUUUUUUACACCAUUUUUAACACAUCAGUAUAAGAAUGUAAACAGUCUCUUAAUUGAGCAUAAAAUAAAUAAAACUUUCAGCAACGGAUCUCUUGGCUCUC
rnacentral:misc_RNA from 1 species